CUAACGAUUGCUGGACACAAAACUGCCACCAACCAGCUCAUUCAGGUCUUUUCCCGUCAUGCCUUCCCCAUAAAAAGAAAUGCAUUAACUUCUGGGUCAGGCUCUGCCCCGGUUUUUGACCUGAUCACUGCUGGCUGCAGCCGGAGCGUGGCCUCUCCAGGCCUGCAGCCUCGCUGCCAGGAGGUCCCUGGCCCACACAGGCUCUCCCCGAGGAUCCUGCAGCCAGCAAGCCACUUGCAGACUGAAAACACGUGGCCACAGCUGAGGUGCAAGCUGAAGGAGGUAUUGUGAGACACUGCAGCCAAAACUCCAUCUUGAUAACAUUUUUAUAGGGGUGAAACUACAAAGAGUAACUCAGCAGUUGCCAGCACGGCUGUGUUAGUAUGAGAGAAUAGCCAGAAGCAUGCAUGCCCAUCUACAUGACUGGCCACUCAGCUCCUUUGAAUCACAAAUGAGCCUCGAUGCACUGAUGCUUCACUGAACUGCAUACAUCUGUGUGUACAGAUAUUUUGGGACAGAGAGCCUGCCAAACACCUGCGGGACACCAGCAUCAUACAGAUUCAGAAGUAAGAGCAUAUCCUGCGGACUGUGGUACAGGAUAUCACUUUGUCAGGUAGCUACUUACAAAUGCACAUUCUACUUACCAGAAAAUGUUCAUGAUGGCAGGCAGCUCUACCUGGACACUGUUGCAUUUAGAGUUGGAUUAAGCUGUCCAAUAUAGUUAUUUAUCUAGAUUUGUUUUUAUCCAAUGGGGAAAAACAACCACAGUUAAAAUAAUGUGUUAAAUAAUGUAUUAAAUAAUACAUGCUUACAUCCCCGCUGAGGACAGGUAUAAUCUCCAUUCUGCAGAAAGUUUUGGUACAAACCCCGUGAGGACAGGGAAAGGAAGAACCAGAACAGGGAAAGAAGGGCAUCUUUUCCAGGAGCACACAAUCAGAUGUUAUGUGGCUCCACACCUCUGCUCUACUGCAUGGGCCAUCCCUGACCUGACACCAGGUGUUGUGUGGCUCAGGCUGGGAGAACCAUGACCAUGAAGAUUCCUACACCAAGCAAGACAAGGGUGCAGUGCCCGGGCUCUCUCUGCAUCUCCUUCAGUACCUGGCGCUGCAGUCUGGCUCACCCUCAACUUGCCAGUUUGGCAGGAGCAGUGGAGUUCACUGAAAACGUUAUUUGUAGCAGGAAUAUUUCCAUGCAUCAUGCCAGAAUCCAACAAUGCUCUCUCAAAAUAAUGCUGUCUAGUAAAAUCAACCAGCUGAAAGGCAUUUUGCACAGUAUCAAAAAUGUAAAUAGAGUGGACAGUUGGCUGUUUACUAUGCAUUUGUAUGAAUAUGUAGUCACUGGGCAAAUCCAAAACACACACGUCCUUCAGAAAAUAAACCAGAUGCAUUUAAAAAUGAUUUAUGUUGAAAUAGCUGUUCUGUACAAGUAUAGUGCUAUUGCUUUACAGGAACCGAUCAGAAAGUAGAAGGUGCCUGUAUUCUCAUAAUGGUAUUAAGACUCUGUGCUUAGUAGUACACACUUCUUAUUCAUAGGAAGAGUCCCCACUGAAGCUAGCAAGACUAAGUCCUCCAGGAUCAAGCCCUCAAUUUGUGCAUUAACAAAGUACUUCAGCCUCCAGUAUUUUUAAUCUUCCAUAACUAAAAAUUUCCCAAUAUCACAAAUACUUUAUGGAAAAUAAAUAUUUAGACAAGAUAAUGUAUAUUAAUGUAGAACCUAUUUAACAUUGAUUCUUUCUUUCCAUUACAACUCGUAUAACACCAUGGGCUGAUUAGAUCAGCCCGCAUACACUUCAGCAAGGCUUGCAAGCAUCUGAUUUAACCUCAGGGUACUAACUUCUAAAAUUGUAACAUUUGGGAAUUAUUAAAUUUAAAUAAAAUGCUUUCAAUUUUCUAUUCAUCGUUCAACCCUUCAUUUCAAAAGACAAAGUAGCCUGAAUCACAAAAUAAUAAUAAAGAAGAUGCUCCAGAAGUAUGGUCAGAGAACUUUUUCUUGCACCUAGGACUUAAGAAGCUGCAGCCUGAACAGCCAGGGAAGUGGGGACAACAGCUGAGCCUUUUAUCCACUGAGCAUUUCAAGGGGCUGGAGGUACUCUGCAACAAGCUGCCCCUCCAGUGAGGAUGCAUGCCUGGCCACAUGAUUAAUAUGAGGAUGUCUGUCGAGAGUGUGUGAAAGAAUGGACAAAACAACAUUUCGGCACCAAAACGACCAAACCGGAACUUUGAUCCACUUUGCAAUGAUCCCCUUGCAAGAGAGCAGACCUGUGCCCUGCAGGUCCAGAGGCCAACUGUGAGUGAUCCACUCCUCACCAUUGAAAGCCACCUUGUCAUCCAGGAGACAGAGAUGCUCAAGGCCUUGCCAGGAUGCCAUAGUGCCUCCCUGACCUAUGAGUACCACGUGGGCAAUCCCAGAGGCAGCAGGAUAGAGGUGUCUGACCCCUGCCCUUUCCUCCCUGCAGCUCCAGCUGGGCUCACCGUGGAAGCUGGCAGAACUCCCCUGGAAUUGGGAUGCCUUUUGCUGCAAAGAACAGGAAGCCAAGGGUCAUAUAACGUGGAAAACCCUCAGCCAGUGCCCUGAGGCUAAAUGUCUUGGAGCCAGAAGCCCGGAUAUAAAAGCCAAAGAAGCCUUUGAGCCCAGAAAAGGAUUAAAUGGAUUUACUGGGUCCAGAGAAAAGCCAAGCAGAAACAAGGAAAAAAUACACUUUCUUGUUCUCUUCAGCUCACUGCUAUUCAAGAGAGAAGAAAUAUGAGUUACAAUGAACUGAGAAAGGUUUUUUGUCUCUGUGUGUGAAAGGAAAAAACCAUAUAUAUUAUUUGUGCUUAUUUUAUGUUGUUCAAUAAACCAGCCUGGGAAAGGAAUAGACAUAUAGAUUUCUGUAUGUUCAUGGGGUGGUGAAAAAGGGAAAUGGAAGCAGCCGGUACAGUGCUUAACCUACGAGUUGCAUGCUGGUUUUGGAAAAAUAGUUAUUUCAGAUUGUCAGUGGCCAUUUUCUGACAUGCUGCAUUUGGGUAAAGGCUGUCUGUGCUGUAGCCAUGUUACUUGAGAACCACAGAACUUCCUACAUCCUGAUUAUGGCUGCAACAUUGCGUGUGUUAACAGAUGCAGCAUGAAUAGCUCUUCUGUUUCUCUUACAAUCUCUGUGUUUUUUAAACAUCAAUGAAAUGUCCAUGAUCCACAGCACUUCUUAAAAGAUUCACCUUUGAAAUCAGUGUGUGUAUGCAGGCAUCCUCUUUAUUUAUAUUUGUAUUUAGCUUGCACUCUUUUAAUAUUCUAAGUCUGCU